CUCGUAGGUGGUUUGUCGCGUUGUUCGUGAAAACCUGAGGCUUAACCUCGGGCGUGCGGGCGAUACGGGCAGACUGGAGUACUGCAGGGGAGACUGGAAUUCCUGGUGUAGCGGUGGAAUGCGCAGAUAUCAGGAGGAACACCGGUGGCGAAGGCGGGUCUCUGGGCAGUAACUGACGCUGAGGAGCGAAAGCGUGGGGAGCGAACA
rnacentral:rRNA from 1 species